rnacentral:misc_RNA from 1 species
GAAUUCGGUCCGUAUCGUGUGCCUAUAUUCUCCUCGCCACCUCGUGGCGCUGGGGGAACCUCAAAGUAUCUCCCGUGUUCCGUGCUGUCCUCUCACGUUGCCGUGUCGGUGGCAUUGCCCGCGGGCAGUUAUGCUCGUGCUCUCGGAUUCGGAGCCUUGUGCGGGUACACGGGGUCUUCGACCUCCGUUUUCCCGCCAAGCGUUCGUCGCUCGUUGCGGGCUACGGCCGCGCCUGCCUCUGACCGUGCCGGCUCUGUCGGUCGGGCUUAUGCAGCGCCGGCCUCGGAAAAAAGGAAUGCUACCUGGUUGAUC